AGAGUUCGAUCAUGGCUCAGGACGAACGCUGGCGGCGUGCUUAACACAUGCAAGUCGAACGGUGAAGGGAUCAGCUUGCUGGUUCUGGAUGAGUGGCGAACGGGUGAGUAACACGUGAGUAACCUGCCCCCUUCUUCUGGAUAACCGCAUGAAAGUGUGGCUAAUACGGGAUAUUCUGCGCCUGCUGCAUGGUGGGUGUGGGAAAGAUAUUGUUUCGGUGGGGGAUGGGCUCGCGGCCUAUCAGCUUGUUGGUGGGGUGAUGGCCUACCAAGGCGGUGACGGGUAGCCGGCCUGAGAGGGUGGACGGUCACACUGGGACUGAGACACGGCCCAG
rnacentral:rRNA from 1 species